rnacentral:tRNA from 1 species
CAGGGAGACAACAAAAUGUUUAAUAUUAUUAUUUUGUCACCUUAGGUCGAUCGGUAUCUCACGUUCUUAACUAAUUAAGAAUUUCAAUUCCUAAGUUUUUCUAGGUCACACCCAUUUUUUUCCUGGGCCAUUAGCUCAGGUGGUUAGAGCGCACCCCUGAUAAGGGUGAGGUCCCUGGUUCAAGUCCAGGAUGGCCCAUAUCUCUAUGUUGGGGGUAUAGCUCAGUUGGUAGAGCGCCUGCUUUGCAAGCAGGAUGUCAGCGGUUCGAGUCCGCUUACCUCCACUGAUUACCACCUCUUCCAUAAUCUGUAGAAAGGAAAAUUUUUUGAGUUGUGAUCAACUUCUGAACGAAUCUAGCUUCCUAAUGAAAAUAUUAAGAUGCUGGACUCAUUGAAUUAAUUUCAUUGUUUUCAGAGAACCUUGACAACUGCAUAGAUUAUUUUUAAAGACAAUAAGCAUCUUUAAUGAUGCAGAUUUAUUAUUUGUGCGAAUGCAUUAAUAACAAUUCUAUUAAGCUGAUGCUUCAA